GGUUAAGCGAACAAGCGUACACGGUGGAUGCCCUGGCAGUCAGAGGCGAUGAAGGACGUGCUAAUCUGCGAAAAGCGCCGGUAAGGUGAUAUGAACCGUUAUAACCGGCGAUGUCCGAAUGGGGAAACCCGGUGCACUUCGGUGCAUCAUCGUUAGCUGAAUACAUAGGCUAACGAGGCGAACCGGGGGAACUGAAACAUCUAAGUACCCCGAGGAAAAGAAAUCAACCGAGAUUCCCCCAGUAGCGGCGAGCGAACGGGGAACAGCCCAGAGCCUGAAUCAGCUUGUGUGUCAGUGGAACGGUCUGGAAAGGCCGGCGAUACAGGGUGACAGCCCCGUACACGAAGGCACACAGGCUGUGAGCUCGAUGAGUAGGGCGGGACACGUGAUAUCCUGUCUGAAGAUGGGGGGACCAUCCUCCAAGGCUAAAUACUCCUGACUGACCGAUAGUGAACCAGUACCGUGAGGGAAAGGCGAAAAGAACCCCGGCGAGGGGAGUGAAACAGAACCUGAAACCGUGUACGUACAAGCAGUGGGAGCCUUCGUAAGAGGGUGACUGCGUACCUUUUGUAUAAUGGGUCAGCGACUUAUAUUCUGUAGCAAGGUUAACCGUAUAGGGGAGCCGAAGGGAAACCGAGUCUUAAUUGGGCGUUAAGUUGCAGGGUAUAGACCCGAAACCCGGUGAUCUAGCCAUGGGCAGGUUGAAGGUUGGGUAACACUAACUGGAGGACCGAACCGACUAAUGUUGAAAAAUUAGCGGAUGACCUGUGGCUGGGGGUGAAAGGCCAAUCAAACCGGGAGAUAGCUGGUUCUCCCCGAAAGCUAUUUAGGUAGCGCCUCGUGAACUCAUCUCCGGGGGUAGAGCACUGUUUCGGCUAGGGGGCCAUCCCGGCUUACCAACCCGAUGCAAACUGCGAAUACCGGAGAAUGUUAUCACGGGAGACACACGGCGGGUGCUAACGUCCGUCGUGAAGAGGGAAACAACCCAGACCGCCAGCUAAGGUCCCAAAGUCAUGGUUAAGUGGGAAACGAUGUGGGAAGGCCCAGACAGCCAGGAUGUUGGCUUAGAAGCAGCCAUCAUUUAAAGAAAGCGUAAUAGCUCACUGGUCGAGUCGGCCUGCGCGGAAGAUGUAACGGGGCUAAACCAUGCACCGAAGCUGCGGCAGCGACACUAUGUGUUGUUGGGUAGGGGAGCGUUCUGUAAGCCUGUGAAGGUGUGCUGUGAGGCAUGCUGGAGGUAUCAGAAGUGCGAAUGCUGACAUAAGUAACGAUAAAGCGGGUGAAAAGCCCGCUCGCCGGAAGACCAAGGGUUCCUGUCCAACGUUAAUCGGGGCAGGGUGAGUCGACCCCUAAGGCGAGGCCGAAAGGCGUAGUCGAUGGGAAACAGGUUAAUAUUCCUGUACUUGGUGUUACUGCGAAGGGGGGACGGAGAAGGCUAUGUCGGCCGGGCGACGGUUGUCCCGGUUUAAGCGUGUAGGCUGACUUUCCAGGCAAAUCCGGAAAGUUAAGGCUGAGGCGUGAUGACGAGGCACCACGGUGCUGAAGUGACAAAUGCCCUGCUUCCAGGAAAAGCCUCUAAGCAUCAGGUAACAUCAAAUCGUACCCCAAACCGACACAGGUGGUCAGGUAGAGAAUACCAAGGCGCUUGAGAGAACUCGGGUGAAGGAACUAGGCAAAAUGGUGCCGUAACUUCGGGAGAAGGCACGCUGACAUGUAGGUGAAGCCCCUGCGGGUGGAGCUGAAGUCAGUCGAAGAUACCAGCUGGCUGCAACUGUUUAUUAAAAACACAGCACUGUGCAAACACGAAAGUGGACGUAUACGGUGUGACGCCUGCCCGGUGCCGGAAGGUUAAUUGAUGGGGUUAUCGCAAGAGAAGCUCCUGAUCGAAGCCCCGGUAAACGGCGGCCGUAACUAUAACGGUCCUAAGGUAGCGAAAUUCCUUGUCGGGUAAGUUCCGACCUGCACGAAUGGCGUAAUGAUGGCCAGGCUGUCUCCACCCGAGACUCAGUGAAAUUGAACUCGCUGUGAAGAUGCAGUGUACCCGCGGCAAGACGGAAAGACCCCGUGAACCUUUACUACAGCUUGACACUGAACAUUGAGCCUUGAUGUGUAGGAUAGGUGGGAGGCUUUGAAGCGUGGACGCCAGUCUGCGUGGAGCCGACCUUGAAAUACCACCCUUUAAUGUUUGAUGUUCUAACCUGGCGCCGUAAUCCGGCGUGGGGACAGUGUCUGGUGGGUAGUUUGACUGGGGCGGUCUCCUCCCAAAGUGUAACGGAGGAGCACGAAGGUCAGCUAAUCCUGGUCGGACAUCAGGAGGUUAGUGCAAUGGCAUAAGCUGGCUUGACUGCGAGAGUGACGGCUCGAGCAGGUGCGAAAGCAGGUCAUAGUGAUCCGGUGGUUCUGUAUGGAAGGGCCAUCGCUCAACGGAUAAAAGGUACUCCGGGGAUAACAGGCUGAUACCGCCCAAGAGUUCAUAUCGACGGCGGUGUUUGGCACCUCGAUGUCGGCUCAUCACAUCCUGGGGCUGAAGUAGGUCCCAAGGGUAUGGCUGUUCGCCAUUUAAAGUGGUACGCGAGCUGGGUUUAGAACGUCGUGAGACAGUUCGGUCCCUAUCUGCCGUGGGCGCUGGAGAAUUGAGGGGGGCUGCUCCCAGUACGAGAGGACCGGAGUGGACGCAUCACUGGUGUUCGGGUUGUCAUGCCAAUGGCACUGCCCGGUAGCUAAAUGCGGAAGAGAUAAGUGCUGAAAGCAUCUAAGCACGAAACUUGCCCCGAGAUGAGUUCUCCCUGAGACUAUAAGUCUCCUGAAGGAACGUUGAAGACGACGACGUUGAUAGGCCGGGUGUGUAAGCGCAGCGAUGCGUUGAGCUAACCGGUACUAAUGAACCGUGAGGCUUAACCUU
rnacentral:rRNA from 1 species